GCGACGGAUUCGAACAGAAGCUUGGAGAGAUCAACAGGGCAACCUGGCGCUCCUGAAGGAUCAACGUCUGCACAAGCCCAUGGAGCCCUGGGUGCGUUAGCAGUUCUCCGCCGAAAACGGAAGAAAUUUUCUAAUUCCCGGAAUGUAACAGCUCUCACCGGUAGCAGAGCUGUGGUUCCUGCGCCAGUUUUAUCUUUAGGAAAGCACACUAAAUCACGUAUUCAGAUGUUAGAACGAGCGUCGUC